ensembl:lncRNA
GACCGGAGUUGGCGGGGGGCAUCUGUUGCCCCUGUAAUGGCUUCAGAUUUGGGAAAUGACCCUAUAUUGGAUCCUCCAUCUGUACCUCGGGCACCUCUGAAAAAAGCGAACAGAAAGGGAGGUUUGCCAGAGGCCAAGAGGAAAGGACGGGCCAAGCGGUUGAACAAAGAUGCGGAGGAACUGCUUGCGAGCAUGCAGCGGUUGGAUCUCACAACAGAAUGUACAGUGCCAGUAGGAACGGGCCUGGUGUUUGAUGAACGGAUGACAGAGUUUUGCUGUCCAUGGGAUGAAAGUUUUCCAGAGUGUCCAGAGCGGCUGGUGGCCAUCCGAGACAAACUGCUGCAAUGUGGACUGCUGGAGCGCUGUGUCCCAGUGCUGGCCCGAGAAAUUUCUGAGGAAGAGAUCCUUUUGGCUCACAGUCCGGAGUACCUGGCACUGAUGAAAUCAACUGAAACAAUGAGCAAGGCUGAGCUAAAAUCCCUGUCAGACACAUUUGAUUCAGUUUAUCUACAUCCAAAUUCCUACCACUGUGCCUGCCUCGCUGCUGGAUCUGUCCUGCAAGUCGUGGAGAAAGUCUGGUCUGGGGAGCUCUGUAAUGGGCUUGCUGUGGUCAGGCCACCUGGACACCAUGCUCAGCAUGAUAAGAUGGAUGGCUACUGUAUGUUCAACAAUGUAGGCAUUGCAGCCCAAUAUGCUCGGCAGAAAUUGGGAGUUGACCGGGUGCUUAUUGUUGAUUGGGAUGUGCAUCACGGGCAAGGCACCCAGUACUUAUUUGAAGACAAUCCCAGUGUCUGUUAUUUUUCCAUCCAUCGCUAUGAAGGUGGCAACUUCUGGCCACACCUCCCUGAGUCCGACAGCCAUGCCGUGGGCAGAGGUCGGGGAGAGGGAUACAACAUCAACGUGCCCUGGGACCAGAUAGGAAUGGGGGAUGCAGACUACCUCGCUGCCUUUUUGCAUAUCCUGAUGCCUGUGGCCUUAGAGUUUCAGCCCCAGUUGGUACUGGUUGCUGCUGGCUUUGACUCUGUAAUUGGUGACCCUAAGGGAGAAAUGGCCACCACCCCUGGAUGUUUUGCUCACCUGGCACAUCUGUUGAUGCCCCUGUCUGGAGGCAAGCUGGUUCUGUCUCUUGAGGGUGGGUACAAUCUCCAGUCCUUGGCAGAGGGAACCUGCACAGUCCUCAAGGCUCUUCUUGGAGACCCCUGCCCUCUGCUGGACUCACCCCUUGCACCAUGCAGAAGUGUAACUUUGCAACCACUCAGCACCCCAUCUGUAAAUGAGAUCCUGUCUAAGUCAGCAGCUGAACUGAUGAAACCCCUGCCACCUUCACGCACAGGGAUAGUCUAUGAUGAGAAGAUGAUGGAGCAUUACAAUAUGUGGGACAGUCAACACCCAGAGUUGCCUCAGAGAGUCUCCCGGAUCUUCCAGCGCCAUGGGGAGCUACGUCUCACAGAGCGGUGCUGUCGGCUCUCAGCUCGGCUUGCCUCUGAAGAGGAGCUGCGGAUGUGCCAUAGCCUGGCCUAUGUGGAGACAGUGAAGUCAACAGCCACCAUGAAGCCCCGCGACCUGCAUCGCCAGGGUGACCAGUACAAUUCCAUCUUCAUCUGCACCAGCUCCUAUGAAUGUGCCCGGCUGGCGGCUGGUUCCGCCUUCAGCGCCGUUGAAGCUGUGCUCUCUGGGGAGGUUCAAAAUGCUGUGGCCAUUGUCCGACCCCCCGGACACCAUGCUGAAUCGGACACCGCCUGUGGCUUCUGCUUCUUCAACUCUGUGGCCUUGUCUGCUCGAUAUGCACAGCGCCUGACUGGGAGGGUGAUGAUACUGGACUGGGAUGUUCACCAUGGCAAUGGGACCCAGCAUAUGUUUGAAAAUGAUCCCAGUGUCUUGUACAUCUCCAUCCAUCGAUAUGACAAUGGGACUUUCUUCCCCACCUCUGAGGAUGCGGACUAUGACCAGGUGGGCUUGGGGCCUGGCAAGGGCUUCACCCUUAAUGUGCCUUGGAACUGUCCCCGGAUGGGAGACCCCGAAUACCUGGCUGCCUUCCAUCAGAUUGUCAUGCCUGUUGCCUAUGAGUUCAAUCCAGAGCUGGUCCUGGUUUCUGCUGGUUUCGAUGCUGCUCGCGGGGACCCUCUGGGUGGAUGCCUUGUGACCCCCGAAUGUAAGGCACACAUGACCCAUCUUCUCUUGGGCCUGGCAGGACGUUUUGUAUUUCUUGGGCGUUUAGUUGGCGGCUACAACCUAGAGUCCAUAUCGGAGUCCAUGACCAUGUGCACUCGCAGCCUCCUAGGGGAUCCUCCCCCUGCCUUGGGACGCCUCAAGGCUCCUCACCCCAGUGCUCUGCAGUCUUUGGCCUGUGUAGCGUCUGUGCACCGCAAGUAUUGGGCCAGCCUCCGACUGGAAGGUGAGUAUUUUUUCCAGACCAUUAGCCGUUUUGUGAGCCCACCAGACCACCCCACAGUAAAAGUUGAGAUAGAGCUACUGGAUGAAGGGCUGUUCUAUGCUGUCACACCCUUAUCAUGGUGUCCGCACCUUGACUCGGUGUUACCUGUUCCUCCCACUGGCUUGAAUGUGCUGGAGCCUUGUUCAGAAUGCGGCAGCAAGGUGGAGAAUUGGAUCUGCUUGGUUUGCUACAAGGUUUGCUGUGGUCGCUAUAUUAAUCAGCACAUGGUCGCUCACAAUUCAGAAUCGGGGCAUCCGCUGGUGCUCAGCUUUGCAGAUCUCUCUGCCUGGUGCUAUGAGUGCCAAGCCUACGUCCACCACCCGGUGAGUUGCAGAUCAAAAAUAGGAAAUGAAUAUUAA